rnacentral:rRNA from 1 species
AACGAACGCUGGCGGCAGGCUUAACACAUGCAAGUCGAACGCAUCCUUCGGGGUGAGUGGCAGACGGGUGAGUAACGCGUGGGAACGUGCCCUUCAGUUCGGGAUAACCCAGGGAAACUUGGGCUAAUACCGGAUACGUGCGAGAGCAGAAAGAUUUAUCGCUGAAGGAUCGGCCCGCGUCUGAUUAGCUAGUUGGUGGGGUAAUGGCCCACCAAGGCGACGAUCAGUAGCUGGUCUGAGAGGAUGAUCAGCCACAUUGGGACUGAGACACGGCCCAAACUCCUACGGGAGGCAGCAGUGAGGAAUAUUGGACAAUGGGCGCAAGCCUGAUCCAGCCAUGCCGCGUGAGUGAUGAAGGCCUUAGGGUUGUAAGGCUCUUUCGUCCGGGACGAUAAUGACGGUACCGGAAGGAGAAGCCCCGGCUAACUUCGUGCCAGCCGCCGCGGUAA